AACGAACGCUGGCGGCAGGCCUAACACAUGCAAGUCGAACGCCGUAGCAAUACGGAGUGGCAGACGGGUGAGUAACACGUGGGAACAUACCCUUCGGUUCGGAAUAACUCAGGGAAACUUGAGCUAAUACCGGAUACGUCCGCGAGGAGAAAGAUUCAUCGCCGGAGGAUUGGCCCGCGUCUGAUUAGCUUGUGGGUGAGGUAACGGCUCACCAAGGCGACGAUCAGUAGCNGGUCUGAGAGGAUGAUCAGCCACAUUGGGACUGAGACACGGCCCAAACUCCUACGGGAGGCAGCAGUGGGGAAUAUUGGACAAUGGGCGCAAGCCUGAUCCAGCCAUGCCGCGUGAGUGAUGAAGGCCCUAGGGUUGUAAAGCUCUUUUACCCGGGAAGAUAAUGACUGUACCGGGAGAAUAAGCCCCGGCUAACUUCGUGCCAGCAGCCGCAGU
rnacentral:rRNA from 1 species